rnacentral:rRNA from 1 species
CCUACGGGUGGCAGCAGUCGAGAAUUAUUCACAAUGGGGGAAACCCUGAUGGUGCGACGCCGCGUGGGGGAAUGAAGGUCUUCGGAUUGUAAACCCCUGUCAUGUGGGAGCAAAUUAAAAAGAUAGUACCACAAGAGGAAGAGACGGCUAACUCUGUGCCAGCAGCCGCGGUAAUACAGAGGUCUCAAGCGUUGUUCGGAAUCACUGGGCGUAAAGCGUGCGUAGGCUGUUUCGUAAGUCGUGUGUGAAAGGCGCGGGCUCAACCCGCGGACGGCACAUGAUACUGCGAGACUAGAGUAAGGGAGGGGGAACCGGAAUGCUCGGUGUAGCAGUGAAAUGCGUAGAUAGCGAGAGGAACACUCGUGGCGAAGGCGGGUUCCUGGACAUUAACUGACGCUGAGGCACGAAGGCCAGGGGAGCGAAAGGGAUUAGAUACCCUGGUAGUC